CCAAUUUAUAGUUAAUUAUGAAGUUAUUUAGAGAUCACUUGGAAAAAGUAGGUUUGGUUGUAAUGUGUCCAUGUUUUUUGUGGUCCAAAAUCAUCAAUCACAACAAAACAAAUUGAAAAUAAACAAAUACAAGUAUAUCAAUUCAUGUAUAUAUGUGUGUCUAUAUUUAAUACACAUCUUUGUAAAAUAUAUUUAUCAAAUCAUCACGAUGUCUUAUAUGAUGUUUGCUUCACGCUCAUCGUUUUCUGCCACAAAAAUAAAAUAAAAAAACACAUUAAAGAUAUAAUCAAAUUUUAUGUCAAAAAGAGAGUAUUAAUUAUAAUGACCAAAAUAUCAAAUAUUAUUUUAUUCAUGUGUCAUAAUCAUCAACAUCCAUAACAAGAGCGUUUGAUGUUUUGAGACAGCAAGAAAAUGUCUAAAUCUGCCACACCUGGUCAAAUAUUUCCCUAGUAAUCAAUUAAACAGCAUAAUUAUUUAUUAAUAUUGGAAGUAUAUAUAUACUAGUUGUAUUUAUACAUGUCAAUCAGUACAUUAGUCAAAAGAUACGACUCAAUCGAUAAGCACGUGCAGACGAAUAUGUAAUAAGUAGGUAAUACUUUGAAUUCGUUUUCAAACUCGACCGAUCAUGUAUCUGAGAAAUCGUCAAUUACGUGUACUAUAGAAACAGUUAUCAACGUAUAAGUUCACUACUAUCUUUACUAAUUUAGGCUUUCUCUACUGUUGAGGUUUUCAUAGUCUAUAAAUAUUCCCAGUAUACUUCUAUAAUAAAUUAGGUUUAAUUUUCUGUUAUCGAGAGAUUAGGGUCUGCAAAUAUAUAAUGUAGAGACAAUUAUAAAGUAUGGCUCGAAAAAAGUUGGCCUGCAGGUUGCCCUCGCUCUUUAAUUUAAUAAAGGCAAAGCUUAAAAAAAUAAAAAUUUGAAAAGCAAUUUUAUCACUGAUAAUAAUUUUACUAUUUUACCGAGUUGCACCAGCUUAAAUACAAAGGGGACCUCUCUACCUAUAAUCUCCCAUUGGCCUCUAUUUUUAUUGAAAUCCAAAUAAAUCCCCCUUAUAUAGAUUAUGCUUAAGGAAUAUAUCCCAUUCUAAUCUAUUUGACCGACUCUCUAUAGUUUCGACUGUCCUCUCAUGAUCCCGAAAACCAUAGAUAUUCCAAGAUUAAGCGUUGACAUAAUCAUGUUGUUGCAUCCCAAAUUCUACCGGAGCUAUAACCAUCUCUCAAAAAUUAAACUGUCAAUUUAUAUAUAUUCUCUAGCGUUUUAAAACCAUUAUGAUCGUCUGAUUGUAAGUAUCUUCAAGAUAUGGACCAUAUGUCCAUAUGUUAUAAAUAUGUGGUGUGUAUAUGUAAGAUUUGAAUGAAAUGGUUUUAAAGUAUGUAUAUAGGGGUUGGAUUAUUUUUAAAGGGGAAGCAAACAUAAAUGAGAAGGUGAGCGAGAAGGUGAAGUGUUGCAAUUUUACAACAGUAAACUUGGAAUAGAGUAAGGACCACUUGUCACUACUCUCUCUUUCUCUCUAGAGUCCAAAACAGCCUCACAUUUUUUUUGCAUCCCCCCACACUUCUCGAUCUCUUUCACACCUAAUUUCUUUAUUGGUUUUUUAAAUAUUUUGUGAUUUGUAUGUUUGUGUAUAUGUAUAUUUUUCUUUAUCAACUUGGAGGAGUUUUGGCCCCUUGGAACUUUUUUUUCUUUCAGUUUAAAAUUUUCUAAGCAACGUACUGCCGUGUAUAUAUGCUAAGAAUUUGGUCGUUUUAAAAAGCUGAUCGAUCUGUAAAAAAAAUUAAGGUAUACGUGAUAUUUGUACGUUGUGCUCUAUUGUCAUAAUUUAAGCACUCAAUCGAUCUAGAUUCAUCACGUACAGUUUGAUGAAUACAAAGUUGGGCUUCUUAAAAGUGCCGUAUUUUAAGUUUCGGUUUCCACAAUUGUCCACAAUCUAAAAUUUCUAAAUACCAUCAAUUGUAUACACACACAAACACAGACUGGUGAUUAAGGCUAAAUCCUUUUUAAAAAGUUGACAUUACUAAAAAUAUGCAAAAUAAUCAAAUUAUAUAAGCAUAGUAACAUUUAAUAUAGAAAUGUGUGCGUGUGGAUUUGCAUAUAUAUAGUGUAAUAAUAUGUUAUGUGUGAGUAGCGAGAAAGGUCGUUAUCAGUAGGUGCAAAAUAGAGUCCAUUUGCAUGGAGCAGGUUUAUGUGAUGUUGAUAAUGGCAACAACUGUCAUCUGUGCCCCAAAGUCCAGGAGUCUUAUAAAUUAGUUUACAUUAUACACAUAAUUAAUUCUAAUAACCUCACAACGAAUGUAUAGAUUGAAAGAAGCGGGUCCAGUAAUAUAUGGGCAAAAACUAUAAAGUAUAUCCACAUUAUAUAGUGUAUGAGUAUAUUUAGAAAUUCUCGAACAGAUAGGAUACACAAAAAUCUUGUUACCAAGCAUCAAGCAAUUCGUUCCUGAUCAUCUAUAAAGUUAUUUUCAUCAAUCCCCAAAAAAACCAAAAAAAAAACACUAUCCUCUUUUGUGUAUAAAUAUUACUCUUUUUAAAAAAUGGUUUGCAUGUGUAGAUUAUAAAUAUAAUUUGUAUGUACCUUAAAUAAAUUAAAUGAUCGUAAGUUUAAUUAGCAUAGCCUCGAUCUAUAAUAGUUAAUAUAAACUUAGACACACAUAUAAAUUAAUACUUAGACAGGCAAUUGUAUACAUAUAUAGAUGCAUGUUCGUAGCUAGAGUUUCUGAAUACAACAUUCUUAAAAGAUCAGCACUUGAUGAUCAUUAUUAAAAAACAAAAAAGUUGUCUACGCACGAGUUCAAUUUACAUUUACCUAUAUCAUCAUAGCUACGUACGUACUAUAUAUGUGCAACGAAUAAUUCAAUAGAUUUGUAGUGAGUAGUCAAGGAAAAAGGAAGGAAAAAAAAAAGAAAGAAAGAGAGGCUCCAAUCAAAGUUGGUUUCGAUGAAAAAUGUAGUACAAUAUAGAUAGUUGGUGUUAUCUUGAAAUAGGUUAGUAAAUAUAUAGUUGGUGUUAGUUCCGUUCGAUGAAUAUAAAUAAGUCGCAGUAGAAAUCAAGAAUGUAGUAAUGGACCAUAUUAUCAAUAUAUACGGUCCAAAGGAUAUAUGAAAAUAAUCGAAGCACGUUUGAAAGAGGAAUAAACGAAACGAGACAAAGUACUGGUAGGGUAUGUUCACAUAAACCCUAAUCAAUUACGAAGCUCUCCUCCUUUCCUUUCGAUGACUAUUUCAAACAUAUAUAUCAUUAUAAGGUAAUAAAACCGUACGAAUUCGAUAAAAUAUAUUAUAGAGUAUAUCUUUCUCUAACGGAAAUAAAAAUAAGAAAUAUAUAGAAAAUAGAAUUAUGACGUGCUGUAUAUAAAGAGCAAUGGAGAAAAUAAAACAAGCAUAUAUGAAAAGAAGAAGAAGAAAGAAAAUGAAAAUUGUAGAUGGAUAGAGUCGUCCCACACUUGAGGUUGGUCCACAAUGAAUACCGUUGGAGGCUUCGCAGGCUUUUGUUCUGUCCUUGUCUUCUUUGUCUCUCUCUCUCUCUCUCUCUCCCUCUCCAUCUUUUGUUUCUUAUUCUCUAUCAUAUCAACCUAUAGCUUAAACUAAUAUAUCAUACUGUGUAUGUAAUUUUACAAAUUUUAGCUACGUACAGAAACCAAACAUGUAGUCCUAAGAAUUCAUCGACUGUUUAUGUACUUCAUAAAAAGCUACUGAGUCUUUAUCGUUAAAAUUUUAAUUGUCUUAAACUUUUUUGUUUUCUUUAGUUUGUGCAUGAGGGGGUAGAGAUAAUGAGUCUGCUGCUACUACUAGUAAAAGUAACUGUACAUUAUAAAAUGCGUGGGGAUGUCGUCAUUAAUUAAAUUGGAAUUUUGGCAUUUAAUAGGAGAGAAAAGAGUGAAAGGUGCUUCACAUACACGCGCCGUAGUUUCUUACCGGGAAAGCGAUUGGUAGUGUUUGAUGUUAACUAGACCGGGCCCGGUUUAGUAUGGGCGGCGGCCGAACCGACCACCUGGCUCCUUCUCUUCUCUGGAUGGGAUUCUGCAAAAUCUUAUUUCGGAUCUUAUUUGGAUUUUGAUCAGUUCAUAUUAUUAUAUAUAAAAUCGG
rnacentral:lncRNA from 1 species